AAUAGGACGAAACGCGCGUCCUGGAUUCCACUGCUAGCCACUAUCCAUCUCUAUAUUAAAGAUUGUAAUGAAAACAAUUUCUGUUGGUAGGUAUGCAUCCAAAGUGAAUUGUCUCAACUUGCGUCAUUUAUGGCGUAGAUG
rnacentral:tRNA from 1 species